GACGAACGCUGGCGGCGUGCCUAAUACAUGCAAGUCGAACGCAGUGGGGACGGGUGAUUAACACGUGGGUAACCUCCCAUCAGAGGGGAUAACACUUGGAAACAGGUGCUAAACCGAUACUGAUGGAUGGACCCGCGGUGCAUUAGCUAGUUGGUGGGGUAACGGCUCACCAAGGCCACGAUGCAUAGCUGGUCUGAGAGGGGGAUCGGCCACACUGGGACUGAGACACGGCCCAGACUCCUACGGGAGGCAGCAGUAGGGAAUUUUAGGCAAUGGACGAAAUUCUGACCGAGCAACGCCGCGUGAGUGAAGAAGGUUUUCGGAUCGUAAAACUCUGUUGUCAGAGAAGCGGUAUCUAACCAGAAAGCAACGGCUAACUACGUGCCAGCAGCCGCGGUAAUAC
rnacentral:rRNA from 1 species